GUGUUCACUUUGGCAGCACAUAUUCUAAAAUUGGAACAAUACAAAGAAGAUUAGCAUGGCCACUGCACAAAGGAUGACAUGCAGAUUUGCAAAGUAUUCCAUAUAUUU
rnacentral:snRNA from 1 species